AUUGAACGCUGGCGGCAGGACUAACACAUGCAAGUCGAACGCGUGGCGGACGGGCGAGUAAGUUCGGGGAAACUGGCUGAUGUAGGGGGAUAACUACUGGAAACGGUAGAUAAUACUGCAAACCCUGAUAUGUGCUCAGAUGGGAUUAUCUUGUUGGUGGGGUAACGGGUCACCAAGGCGACGAUCCCUAGCUGGUCUGAGAGGAUGACCAGCCACACUGGAACUGAGACACGGUCCAGACUCCUACGGGAGGCAGCAGUGGGGAAUAUUGCACAAUGGGCGCAAGCCUGAUGCAGCCAUGCCGCGUGUAUGAAGAAGGCCUUCGGGUUGUAAAGUACUGUCAGCGGGGAGGCGUUACCCGCAGAAGAAGCACCGGCUAACUCCGUGCCAGCCGCCGCGGUAAUAC
rnacentral:rRNA from 1 species